rnacentral:rRNA from 1 species
CUGCCAGCCGCCGCGGUAAUACGGAGGGUGCGAGCGUUAAUCGGAAUUACUGGGCGUAAAGGGUGCGUAGGCGGUUGAAUCGGUCGGAUGUGAAAGCCCCGGGCUUAACCUGGGAAUUGCAUUCGAUACUGUUCGGCUAGAGUACGAUAGAGGGUGGUGGAACUCCAGGUGUAGCGGUGAAAUGCGUAGAUAUCUGGAAGAACACCAGUGGACGAAGGCGGCCACCUGGAUCGUAACUGACGCUGAGGCACGAAAGCGUGGGGAGCAAACAGGAUUAGAUACCCUGGUAGUCCACGCCCUAAACGAUGAGAACUAGCCGCUGGGAGGAUUAACCGUUUCGAGUGGCGUAGCUAACGCGUUAAGUUCUCCGCCUGGGGAGUACGGCCGCAAGGUUGAAAUUCAAAGGAAUUGGCGG